GAUAAGAUGGCUGAGUUUAAAAGUGGUGGGUUGUAACCCCAUGAACAGAGGUUUGAGCCCUCUUCUUAUCA
rnacentral:tRNA from 1 species